rnacentral:lncRNA from 1 species
UAGUUAAUUUGUGUAUUGGACAGAAUUAAAAAUUUUCAGUCCGUAAACUAAUCCGCAAAAUGGUGAAUUAGAUAUGGAUUGGGUCAAAUCCGCAUCCGAUUCACAGACAUGGAUUGAAUUUGGAUUGAAUUUCACCGAUCUGUGGAUUGAAUUGAAUUGGAUUGAAAAUUUAUAAUCCGUAAAAUCGUGGAUCGAAUAUGAAUUGAUGUCCAAUCCGUAAAAUCCGAUCCACGAACACUCCUAGUUCAGCCAAAGGUCGAAUGACUAAUUUAUUUUACUUUUGAUUUUUAAAUAGGAUAUAUCUUUAAUUUAUUAUUAUAAAUUCUCUAUAUUAUUAACAUAUUGUUAUUUAUUUAUUUUUUUUCAUUCAAUGCAAUUAUGCAUGCAAUUCAAAUACAUAUAUUGGGAGUUUACCACUAAGGCCAUUAGCAAGGUGUAAAAUCCUCAUUUUUUCCCUACCAUAGAGAAAAGUUAAUAUAGCACACUAUAUAUAGAUAUUGUCUUUAUUUAAUGCAAAUUAAAUAUAUCUGAUAAGUUUUAUAAUGUGCUAAAAUUAUAAAAAGUUUGAACUCUUGAUGAUUCUGAUGGUAAUACUAGUAUAUUAUAAUAAAAGCAUAUUAGAUUGCUAAUAAAUUUAUUUGCGUACGUAAUUGAGAAAAUUUUGUGAGGUAAUACAUUGCAAUGAGAUCAUAUUCAAAAUAAGAUGCGGUAUUUAAUUGAGAGGUUCUCAUAUAUUAGAAUAUGAAUUUAGUAAGAAUUUAUUUUAUCAUUUUAAAAUUUUGAGAACUCAAACUUAGGCCUCAGCUCAAAUUAUUAUAUUUUUCUCAAAUUAGCUUUUUUAAUCUAAAAAUAGUAAAUCAAAACUAUUUCUUAUCUUUCUCGAUUUUUCGAUCAUAUCUUUGUGACAUAUUCUUUUACAUUAUGAUGAGAUGCCAUAAUUUUUUUCAUUAGUGGGAGAUACCACUCCACGCUGAAGUAUAAACAAUAUAUAUAUUUUUAGCAAAGAUUACAGGAUUUUUUUUUUUUUGG